GCCAGGCAUAGUGGCAAAUACCUGUACCCCCAGUUACCAGGGAAGCAGAGGCUAGCAUAUCUCUUGAGCUUAGAAGUUCUGCGUUAUAGUGAGCUAUCCCAAUUGGGUGUCUUCAUUAAGUUUGUCAGUAUUAUAGUGAGUCCCCAGGAGCAGGGGUGGCUACCAUGUUUCCUAGGGAGAAGAAAACCAACCCAGGUCAGAAACGGAGCAGAUUAAAGCUCUUGUGACUACCAGAAGUGGGACUGGGCCUAUAAUUAGCCCCUGUAUUUCCAAUCUGGACAAGAUGGGGAGGCUCAGUUUUU
rnacentral:SRP_RNA from 1 species